CGGCCGGCGGGGCUUCCUCCCACCACGAUUCCCGGCCCCGCCGUGCGCCGGGUGGAGGUCCCCGCGGGCUCCACUCGGGCUGGAUCCCAGCCCCUGCUUCCCCCACCCCCGCAUCUGCUCCAGCAAGGGGGGUGGGGGGGGGAGAAAAAAACCCGGACAGCGUUGCUGAGCCCUGCCAAAUCAGAAAAAUAAAUAAAAAUAGACGUAGUGCAGGAGCGAGUUACAAGAAAGGAUCUGAUUAUCGAUUUUCUUAAAUGGAAAAGUUUUAAAGGAUGAGGUAACGCUGAGCCGAGAAGCAAGAGAUUACACUUACCCGAUUGUAGGUUCUGGGAUACAAGAAGAAAAGAAUUUGACUUCACUUUCCGACGGCCAAGAAAUACCACCCAGAAUCUUCCUGGCAAUCGCUAGAUCCCAAAGUUUCACCAUCCAAUGAGGCACCCAUCUGUCCUGACCUGGUGAGAUUACACUUCCACCUGCCUGGAGAGAGAUGCUCCCAGAGGUGGAAGAAAAGCCAGCUAUUGUGUCUCUCCCAAGGCCCUCAGGGGAGCACCUGUGGGGAGGCUGCCCAAUGAAACCUCAUGAUGUCAUUUCCCCCGUCGGUGCACCUCAGACUCACUACCAGCAGCCUGCCUUAACUUUUCAGUGAAACCACUGCUCUUCCAAAGCCUUUGAAGUCUGCAAUUUACUUUGUCCCUCCAGGGAAAGAAAGCCGAUGGGGGUUAAAGAGUCCCAGAGUGUAAGAACUGAAAGGAAAUUUAGACUCUUUUGUAGUUAAAGGGCAUGAAGUGGAGUGAGGAAAACCCCGCUAGGUCUCUGGAGGUGGCCUAUGCUUGUGUAACCUAAUAACCGGUGACCUUGGGUCACUUACCUCUCAGAAGCCCCAGUGGAUUCACCUGUAAAUGGGGAUUCACCUUCUCGCUUCCCAGGGAUUGUGUGGAUUAAAUGAGAUGCUGUGGGAUCCCUGGUUGGCGCAGCGGUUUAGCAGCUGCCUUUGGCCCAGGGCGCGAUCCUGGAGACCCGGGAUCGAAUCCCACGUCGGGCUCCCGGUGCAUGGAGCCUGCUUCUCCCUCUGCCUGUGUCUCUGCCGUUCUCUCUCUCUCUGUGACUAUCAUAAAUAAAUUUUAAAAAAAAUGA